GAUGAACGCUGGCUACAGGCUUAACACAUGCAAGUCGAGGGGAAACGCCGGGGAAGCUUGCUUCCCCGGGCGUCGACCGGCGCACGAGUGAUUAACACGUAUCCAACCUGCCUCUGACUGAUGUAUAACCCGGCGAAAGUCUGCCUAAUACCUCAUUGCAUCCUCUGCGGGCGUCCAACGACGAUUAAGGAUUUCAUCGGUCAGAGGUCGGGUUGCGUCUGAUUAGCUUGUGGGCGGGGUAACGGCCCACCAAGGCGACGUUCAGUAGGGGUUCUGAGAGGAAGGGCCUCCACGUUGGAACUGAGACACUGUCACAAAUACUAGGGGAGGAAGCAGUGAGGAAGAUUGGUCAAGGGGCGUGAGCCUGAACCAGCCAAGUAGCGUGAAGGAUGACGGCGGUAUGGGUUGUAAACUGCUUUUAUGAGGGGAUAAAGUGAGUGACGUGUCUUUAAUUGAAGGUACCGGAUGAAUAAGGACCGGCUAACUACGUG
rnacentral:rRNA from 1 species